rnacentral:rRNA from 1 species
ACCCACCUGACUUCCAUUCCGAACUCAGAAGUGAAACGAAUUAGCGCCGAUGGUAGUGUGGGGCUUCCCCAUGUGAGAGUAGGACAUCGCCAGGC